CCAAAUCACGUUGAAACAUUGGUUCUCGUACGAUCACUGAAGUUAAGCAAUGUUAAGCCUGGUCAUUAUCUAGAUAGGUGACCACUUGGGAAUAUCAGGUGCUGUAAG